rnacentral:rRNA from 1 species
UACGUAGGGUGCGAGCGUUAAUCGGAAUUACUGGGCGUAAAGCGUGCGCAGGCGGUUAUUUAAGUCAGGGGUGAAAGCCCUGGGCUUAACCUAGGAAUUGCGCUUGAGACUGGAUAGCUUGGAGUGCGGCAGGGGGAGGUGGAAUUCCACGUGUAGCAGUGAAAUGCGUAGAGAUGUGGAGGAAAACCGAUGGCGAAGGCAGCCCCCUGGGAUAACACUGACGCUCAUGCACGAAAGCGUGGGGAGCAAACAGG